AUUGAACGCUGGCGGAAUGCUUUACACAUGCAAGUCGAACGGCAGCACGGACUUCGGUCUGGUGGCGAGUGGCGAACGGGUGAGUAAUGUAUCGGAACGUGCCCAGUCGUGGGGGAUAACGUAGUGAAAAUUACGCUAAUACCGCAUACGAUCUAUGGAUGAAAGCGGGGGAUCGCAAGACCUCGCGCGAUUGGAGCGGCCGAUAUCGGAUUAGGUAGUUGGUGGGGUAAAGGCACACCAAGCCAACGAUCUGUAGCUGGUCUGAGAGGACGACCAGCCAGACUGGAACUCGGACAAGGUCCAGAUGCCUACGGGAGGCAGCAGGGGGGAAGUUUGGACAAUGGGCGAAAGCCUGAUCCAGCCAUUCCGCGUGCAGGAUGAAGGCCCUCGGGUUGUAAACUGCUUUUGUACAGAACGAAAAGGUUUCUACUAAUACUAGGAGCUCAUGACGGUACUGUAAGAAUAAGCACCGGCUAACUACGUGCCAGCCGCCGCCGUAA
rnacentral:rRNA from 1 species